CGGACGGGUGAGUAAUGUAUAGGAACUUGCCUAGUAGUGGGGGGACAACGUGUGGAAACGCACGCUAAUACCGCAUACGCUCUACGGAGGAAAGCGGGGGAUCUUCGGACCUCGUGCUACUAGAUGGGCCUAUAUUGGAUUAGCUAGUUGGUAAGGUAAAGGCUUACCAAGGCGACGAUCCAUAGCUGGUUUGAGAGAAUGAUCAGCCACACUGGGACUGAGACACGGCCCAG
rnacentral:rRNA from 1 species